GCCAUUACAAUUAUUACAAGGCCGACCUCAAAACGAAGGAAUUAGGGGCGAACGCCAACACGCAAUAGCGGUGGAAAAUCCCCAAUUCCCAUGGCGACUCGCGCACCGCCGCAGCACUCGUCGUCAGCCGGAUCCGUGACCGUGACCGUUGACCCCUCCCCCUCUUCGUCCUCCUCGGCCCCGCCCCCGGCGACGGCCGCGCCGCAGCCGGCGGAGGCGGUGGUGCUGCGGCUGAAGCGGCGGGGCAAGAAGAAGGUGUCGUGGAAGGAGGGGACGGUGGACAACGAGGGCCUCGGCCGCAAGAGCUCCAAGAAGUGCUGCAUCUUCCACAAGGAGGUCCCCUUCGACGAGGACUGCAGCGACGACGAGGGCCCCGGCGGCGGGCACCGGUGCCCGCGGGGAGAUGCUGGCGAGGGCACCAACGGCAGCGGCGGAUGCCCGUCGUCCUCCCACGACCACAGCCAUCACCACCACUGAUCUCGGUGCGGAUUGGGGCUUCAUCAUCCCUCGAUGCUUAUAUUCAAUCUGCUGUGAUGAAUUUUGUGAUCUGAUGAUGCAGCUUUGAUGGGCCUCUUCGUCAAUACCUGAAGUAAUUGGUUAUCCUGCCAAGGAAACUGAUGCUUCUUUAUGCCGGCUUUUAGUGAAAAGUUACUGUACUUUUAUGCUGAUGCUAAGCUAGUAUUACCUCAUAUCGGAACUUGCAAGAGACAACCAUUGGGCCAGGCAUUGUUAGGCUGCAGCUUCUAUGAUUGAUGUAUUGUUCUGGCGUCCAAAUAUAUAUUUUGAGAUGAAAUCUUUUUCCUGUUAUUAUUGUCAUAGUUUAAUUGUCUCAAUGUUACUAAAUCUGUUCUUCUAGGCGAUUCACUGGUCAAUAUAUGAUCCUUGUCGACUUCAUUGUAUUUGCCUCUUAUAUUGUAGCAGUUUGCUGUUUGUUAAUGAUGAACUGAGGCUGCUCUUA